UCAAGAAGUUCUUUGCCGUGUGUG
rnacentral:misc_RNA from 1 species